CUUAUUUCAGCAGAACGGAACCCUAGGCCAUCAGAGCUCCUGCCCCACGGGUGUCGCGGAGCUCAGCGAGGAGAUGCAGUUACGGGCGCACAGGCCUGAGCCGCUGGCACCACACAGCAGCCCCUGGUAGGAAGCAGCUCAGGCUGACCGAAGCGAACAGGGAGUUUACUGGAAGACUGCGAGGCACCUGCAGGGUGGAAGGGAGCCUCCGGCUUGGACCACAAGCACCAACAGCCCCAGAGCUGCUCCAUGCGAAUCCCACCCUGACGCGAGCCAAUGCCCACCAUUUGCUGUCUCUCCCGUUGGCUCUGGGUGGGUCACGUGCCCACCUCUCCACUAGAAGAGGGGGACACCUUGAUGAACAGUUCACCAGACCGGACCCACCAUGUGAGUUAAUUCCCCAAAUGGGAAGUGGACACUGUUCCCAAGAGAAAGUGAAAUGGGCGUUGAGCAGCCGAUGUGCAAGCACGGCAGGGGCUGGAUGCUCUUGGAAGUAACAGGGACCUUGACCCAAACAAGAGGGAAAGUCAUCCUCUCUCCAAAACGGAAGUGUGCGGGUGGCUGCUCGCGGGAGCGGAUCCAGCAACUCGGCAGCGUCGUCAAGGGCCACGCGCUUCCUCCCCCUCGCUCUGCCCUCAGGCAGGAGCAGGUGCCCAGACCUUGACCACAGGAAGGAGAGAGGCAGGCUCCUGUGAGGUCCUCUUCGCAGAAGCCCCAGCAGACGUCCCCCCAGGUCUCACGGGCUGGAGCUCUGGGUCACAGGCCCUUUGCUGAAAUAAAACGGCAAGGAGAGAUAGACCGGCCAAGAUCGGCUUAGACUCAUCUCCUGGGUGAAGGGAAGCUGGGGAGGCAAUCCUGGGUCUGCGUCUGGACAAGCGUGGGACCCAUCUGGCCGGGAGGGCUAACCCGCCUUGUCGAGAGUAGUUUCCACGAGUAACCAGCAGGUGGAACAAGGGGAUGCUGCCAAAUCCUUUAGUUUGAGGUUCUGCUCACGAAAAUGGGAGAACAUAUUCCCAGUGUCUUCUGCCCUCCUCUUCCCAGUGAUAAGGCUCGCCCACUUCAACAGGCAGGACAGAUUCCAAAGACCUGGAGCCCUUGACCCCCACACGUUAGCGCCCACUGCUGCUGCCUCAGGUGGGGAGGGAGCCCACGGGGAGCCUGUGUGUGGAGCAUGGUCGUGGUCCAGCCGUGCCUCUUACCAGCUGUCUCAGUCUCUGUGAACUGGAGACAGGAUGCUGACUUAGCACAGCGCAUGGCAUACAGCAAGAGCCAAAUAGACGGGAUGCUCACGUUCCAGGGACCGCGCUAGGCCGGCAGACUCUGGUGUGGGCCCUCCCAGCCCAUCCCUCUGCUCAACCUCUGGCUCAGACCUGGGCCCUCUGUCGACAUUCCAGGAGUGGGAGCGCAGCCUUCCGAGGUUUUCCACACCAGCUGUGCUCCGAUGAAGCCCUAAAAGAAGAACUCCCUGUUUCUCUCUACACACGAAGCAACUCUGACACUAACGGCCUGGAGUUAGCACAGACCCACCCCGCCGCUUCAGACACCAAUCGCAAGUCCAGGUUGUCACCCGUGCUGCUGACUGACCAGCAAUAGAUCAGAAGUUCCCAUGUUCCCCUCCUCAGGUUCGAGAAUUUGCUGGAGUGGCUCCCAGAAGUCAGGAGAAUGGUUUCCUUACAGUUAAGGGUUUAUUGUAAAGGACACAACUCCAGAACAGCCGGAUGGAAGAGAUGCGUGGAGCAAGGCGUGGGGGUGGAGUGCAGAGCUCCCGUGCCCUCCGCAGGCGCCCCACCCUCCCAGCCCCUCAGCGGGCUCCACCGGGAAGCUCUCCAGAGCCUUCAGUUGGGGGGUAUAAUGGAGGCUUCAUCACACAGGCAUGAUGGACUAAAUCAUGGCCCGUUGGUGAAUAACUCACUUCUAGACCCUCUCUCGUCCCCAGGGGAUGGGGGGUUGGGGGACGUGGGGUGCCGCCAGGCUGAAAGUUCCAACUCUCUAAUCACAGGUUGGUUUCCCUGGCAACCAGCCCCCCCAUCCUUAGGGGCUUUCCAAAAGUCACCUCAUUUCCAUAAACUCAGGGGCAUUCAAAAGGGGCCUGUUAUGAAUAACGAAAGAUGCUCCUUUCACUUUUUCACUCUGGAGUGGGUUCAGGAGCUGGGGACAAAACCAAGUAUUAUAAGAAAAGAUGCUCCUGGUGCUCUUAUCACAUAGGAAAUGACAAGGGUUUCAGGAGCUCUGGCCAGGAGCCAUGGACAAAGACCAAAAUAUGUAUUUCUUCUAUGGUGAUAUCACACCCUAAACAUCUCUGCCAAGUUCCAGACCACGUGACACCGCCACUUUGACGAUUCAGGCCAAACGUUACUGAAACAACUGGGAUGCCCUCCACCUGUCGCCUCCCAGGCUUCUGCAUCUCUGACGGCACCGCCGUCACCCAGAGUCUGGCCCCCACCCAGCAACCAGUUACCUCUGGAAAGCCGAUCCGUGUCAGUGGAUGAGUGGAUAAGCAAAACAGGGCCUGUCCAUGCGGUGGGAUGUUCAGCCACAGAAGGAAUGAAGCACCAACACCUGCCACAACAUGCACGAACCUCGAAAACACGCUGAGUGAAAGAGGCCACUCCCAAGAGGCCACGUGCUGUAUGAUUCCAUUUCUUCUGGGCAUGAAAUGUCCAGAAUAGGCAAAUCCAUAGAGACAGAAGGCACAUCAGUGGGUGCUUAGGGCUGGAGGAAGAAAGGGGAGUAAAUGCGUAGUGGGCACGGGACCUCCUUUUGAGAUGAUGAGAAAGUUCUGGAACUGAAUAUUGAUGAAGAUUGCACAACAGUGUGAAUGUACUAAAAGCUACUGAUUGUAAACUUUAUAAUGGUUAAAAUGGUAAAGCUUAUGUUACGUGUAUUUUAUCACAAUAAGAAAAAAACCCUUAAAAUCCCCAUGGCUCCUUGUGCUGCACGUGAGCUCUGUAGCAGCUCCUGCUGGCCUCUGCCCUUUGCUCUGACCCACUUCUCACUACUCUCUUCGCCUCCUACCGCGUUUCGGUAAUUCUGGCCUCCUUUGCAUUUCUCACCAGGCCAAGCUCUUUCCCACCUCAGGCCCUUUGCACAUACUGUUCCCUCUGCUUAGAAGGAUUUCCCCUCUCUUCAUGGUUGGCUGUACCUCAGCUUUCAGUAUUACUUUGAAUGUCACAGAGAAGCCUUCCCCGACCAUCCUACCUUGGUGGGGCUUCGUCUCUACCCCCACCAC
ensembl:lncRNA